rnacentral:tRNA from 1 species
GGCCCCGUAGCUCAACUGGAUAGAGCGUCGGCCUCCGAAGCCGAAGGUUGCUGGUUCGAAUCCAGCCGGGGUCAC